rnacentral:lncRNA from 1 species
AGACACUGACUUACCCGAACCCGAACGUUGUCGACCAAAGUGAUAAGCGGAAUGAUCUUGAGAUAACGAUCGAUCUCGUCCUGAGCCUUACGAAACUGGUAAACAAUGUUCCAUCCUGUGAGAUAACAAACCAAGUCCCACAUUGGAUAAUUAGACAAGGAGUGUCUAAUAUAUAAAGAGAUGUUCAACUCUAAUAGUACGAGGCCUUUUGGGAAGGAAAUCAAAAGUAAAACCAUGCGGGCCAGCAAAUUAGGCCCAAAGUGGACAAUAUCGUACUAAUAAGAUAAGAUAGAGUUGGACAUGGGAUUUCGCAAUCCCAACAAUUGGUAUCAGAGCGGUUGACGAGAAAUCUGCAAGAAAUGUGAGAUAACAAACCAAGUCCCACAUUGGAUAAUUAGACAAGGAGUGUCUAAUAUAUAAAGAGAUGUUCAACUCUAAUAGUACGAGGCCUUUUGUUGGGAUUGUGAAAUCCCAUGUCCAACUCUAUAUUAUCCGAUUAGUACGAUAUUGUCCACUUUGGGCCUAAUUAGCAAGCCCGCAUGGAUUUACUUUUGGUUUCCAUCCCAAAAGGCCUCGUACUAUUAGAGUUGGACAUCUCUUUAUAUAUUAGACACUCCUUGUCUAAUUAUCCAAUGUGGGACUUUGAUUGACAUCUCUCAUUCUCCCCCUCAAGCUAAGGACCACACACCUUGUGCCAUUUUUCCUCUAGCGAAUCAUCUCGGUGCCUUGUCGCAUCUUCGACAUUCGACACCCUUAGUCGAGAAUGUUCUUCCCACAAUUCCAGGAUCUUUUGACUAAUCUCUGCCGAACCUCCCUUUCCACCUUGAAGGGUCCCAUUCCUACUUCGAAAGAGGGCGUGGGUUCAAAUCCCACUUCUGACACCAAAUGUGAGAUAACAAACCAAGUCCCACAUUGGAUAAUUAGACAAGGAGUGUCUAAUAUAUAAAGAGAUGUUCAACUCUAAUAGUACGAGGCCUUUUGGGAAGGAAAUCAAAAGUAAAACCAUGCGGGCCAGCAAAUUAGGCCCAAAGUGGACAAUAUCGUACUAAUCGGAUAAUAUAGAGUUGGACAUGGGAUUUCACAAUCCUAACAAGUGGUAUCAGAGCAAUCCAGGUUUUGAUUGCGGGUGUAAAAGAGAUCACGGAGACUAAACAAAAUCACAAAGAAGAAAGAUAAAGGGACCUAUAUCUUCUUCAAGAAGAGUGUGAAUCGUUCAGCUCCAAGGUGAUCGUUUUCUUGUUUGAAUCUUCUGGUUGUUUACCUGUUGCAAAAGGUUAAACAAACUGGUCAGGCGGAGACAACACAGAGAAGAGUUGAGAUUGUAAGAUCAAAGGGUCACGUGGCUGGUUUAGGGAAGUGCGAGGUGUGAAUGCAAUAACAUUCAUCUCAAUGGAAGUUGAGCAAAGUUCAGUAUCGAUAGUCUUCUUAACCAGGUUGAAAGUUAAGCGGCAGGUUCCAUUCUUAGUAAUGGCGGUACAAAGUGUGUUUCAAAGUUGAUCUAUCGAAACAGGAAUUUGUUACUGCCUAUGUUUCAAGGGAUUUUAGAUCAAGGUGGAGAUGAUGUUAGAGCUUCAGGUUAAGCGGUGGUGUUUCGUGAUCGUUGGUGUUUCAGGAAACGUCAGAAGAAGUUGACGGAGAUGAUCAAGGAUUCAAGGAAGAUCAUCAAGGAGCUAUAUUUCAGAAGAUAUCUUGCAAGGCAUAGGAGACUGCAUGUUCUGAGUGAUUGGUGCUUAAGAAGUUAUCUCGCAAUGAAAUAUGCAAUAGGUUUUGUGUCGAUAGUCUUUCUAACAAGGGAGUUAGACGGCGUGUCCUGUUUUUCAUAAACAGCGGUACAAGACAUGUAUAUGUUCGCAUUGCUGGAGGGGAUGUCAAAGUUUUGUGACGUCUAGUAUUGAGUUGGAAACUAAUGGUGUAUUAGUCUAAGUCUAUCACUUUGAGAACAUGAGGAAGGCUCCAAGAUAGAAGAAGGCAAGAUUUGAAAUAAGAAGAAUGAACGUAUAAGUUAAGGCUGCAUGGAGAGUAAGAGACAAGUACGGAUAUACUUGUUUUCUUCUGGCAUCACAAGAAAGAGAAUUAAAAAAAAAAAAAAAAAAAUUCUCUAAGGAGGACAAGGAAAGAAAAAGUUCACGUGAGGAAGCAUAUUCAUGGUAAGUCCAAAGGCUGUUGUGAUGCAGUGACCAAAGCGUUGGGAUGUUAGCAAUACAAACAACGAGCAUUGCAGGGAAUGGGUUUUCAGCUAGGAGAGAUAUCAUGGGGUCUAGAAGUGAUAUCAAGGAGAGCUGUUACAAAGAGAAGUGUCAAGAACGUCACCGGAGCAGUUGGCGUGAGACAAGGUUAAACGGAAACUAGCAGUUUGAUCCAAGACUGUUAAAAAAAAAAAAAAAAAAAAAAAAAAAAAAAAAAAAAAGGGGUAAGGUUAAACAAGAAGAGCUGAAUGGAAAGUUGUGUCGAAAGUCUUCCCAACAAGACUGGUUAGGAAGCGUGUUCCAUCAUGGAUGAUGGCGGUACAAGAUGGAUUCAGAUUGUUGUUGCUUAACCAUAAUGCAACAAGUUUAAUCUCAAGGGUUGCAGAAUGGAUAUUGAGAUUGUUUUAAAGAUUGGAUCAGGGAAUGUUUCAGGUUGAAACAUGUAUGCUUCAAGGGUUUAUUGCAUAUGAUUCAAAGGAAAUUUGAUUCUAAAGAUCAGUGCACAUGAUAAGAAUCAAAAGGAUAUCAAAGGGAAUCAAGUUGCAAGGUUUGAUAAGGAAAAAUCAAAUAAGGUUUCUCAAAAUCUCAGGAGUAUGGUGAGCGGGAAGGUUACCUGCGACUAUUAUGAAGCUAUGGUAAAGAGAUAUUGGCUUCAGGUGGAGUAGCUACAAGAAAAGCAAAAGAAAUUGCUUCAGAUGGAGUAGCUGCAGGAAAUCAAAAGAAGCCAAGAUAGAGUUUCAUAAGAGUCUCAAAGAUUGGAAGAGACAAGACAUGAGAAGGGAAUCUGUUUCAAGUCAGAGAAAUUAAAAGAGUAAGGUGAUUACCUGAGAAUCUGAAGUCAAAGGAGUUAUUGUCUUUAGGUGAAGCUCACAGGAAAAGUGGCAAAGGGUUUCACAGGAGAUGUUGUGAGAAGAAAGAUGACAGCAAGUAUGAGAUCACUCAAGUUAAAGAGUGUUACCUGCUAUCACUAGAGCAGAGGAGGAGACGCAGAGCAUCGUCAAAGCAGCUGUGAAAGAAUUUCGAAAGAGAGAGUUCGAGAUUAAAUGAGAUUCACAUAAGGCUAGCAUCAAGGGUUGAUGCAGAGGUUCAGGGAAUUUGUAAUCUCAAAAGGUACAAGCUACAGUCAUUGGGAGAAGGAGAUUGACUAAAAGGGAAAGGAUACUUGAGAGUUGAGAUUACAGUGGGUAAAGACGUCAAAACAUGAUGCCGGAAGAUGCAAAGAAUCAAGUUGAAGUUGCAUCAGGUUAUGUUCACUAUCAAGGGAAUAAUCAAAGGGUUUAGGACAAAGUAAGUAUUACAUACUCUUAUUGGGGAAGACAAGUGGUCGAAAGUUGCAGUAGCUCUGGUGAAGUAGCUCCGGGUGGAGUAAUGGCAACAAGAACACCGGAAGGAGAUGCAAGGAGGAACGUGACGAGAAACAUCACUGUUGAUGGCUCCGGUCCCGUUAGAGAAAUUUCCGAAGGUCGUCACUGUCAAGUAAUUGAAAGUUCAGGAUUUUUCAACUUCUAAUAGAGGCAAAUCAAGAGCUCUUACAUGUAAAAUCAAGCAUCGGAGAAGGCUUACUGGAAACUGCAGAACUCCGGUGAGACUGAUCAGCUUGAUUCAGGCAAAACAAGAUUCACCAUUAAUGAAGAAUCACAAUCUUCAGUAUGGAUGGUGGGCCUUGUACGAUGAGGAACCGUCAACGGUUGCACAAUGAUGGUUAAAGUGUUACUGAAGAGCAAGAUGAAGUCUUUAGAAGUUUGAAUGGUUCGCGUCACUAACAAAGGUUCAAAGUUACAGUGGUGCGACGGUGUGAACGAGAGGGAAGCAAUCAAGUUAGAAUAAUUGGUAUUAGGGCCUAAGGUGGAGAUUGAAAGGAUAAUAGGCCCCAUUCCAAUUGCUUGCCCAAACCCACAGCCCAAUAACAAACCUGCGCACAAGAGGAAAGACGUUAGUGUCGGUUAAUCAAAUUGCUAAAGCAAUUAGGAAAAGGAAAACUAAAGUCGGUGGUUGGGGUUAUAAAUAGAGAAGGUGGUCUAGGCUUUACAAUCAUCCGAAACACAAGACCAAAGAGAGAGAGCUAAAGAGAGAGCUCAAGGUUAGAAGAAACUAGAGGCAAGAGACAUUGUUCGAGUCAUGUCGCUUCGGGAUAGAGUUUUUUUGAUCUCUCUUAUUCUUUGUUGUGUCUUCCCUUUGAGCGCUUAGAGCGUUUGUGUAAACCUUUGAUUAAUAGUGGAAGUUGUGGGAGACAGUUCCCACCCGAGAUGUACCGUGCUAGAGGCCGGGAACUCGGUGAUCAAAUUCUAUGUCUUAAGUAAUUAAGCAAUCUAACGAUCAAUAAUUCCUAACACAUCCCAUUGCUAACAAGUAGAGAUAACUCUUGUCUUGGCAGCUGUUGACAAGAAGGUAAGAUCUUCUAAGAGCGUCCUCAAGCCCUUCGAGAGGCUCCUGAACCUCGGGACGCGUCUUCUUCAUCUCGGAGAUUUUAAGCUGCUCGAGCAAGUUAC